UAGGGAAUNUUCCACAAUGGACGCAAGUCUGAUGGAGCAACGCCGCGUGAGUGAAGAAGGGUUUCGGCUCGUAAAGCUCUGUUGGUAGUGAAGAAAGAUAGAGGUAGUAACUGGCCUUUAUUUGACGGUAAUUACUUAGAAAGUCACGGCUAACUACGUGCCAGCAGCCGCGGUAAUACGUAGGUGGCAAGCGUUGUCCGGAUUUAUUGGGCGUAAAGCGAGUGCAGGCGGUUCAAUAAGUCUGAUGUGAAAGCCUUCGGCUCAACCGGAGAAUUGCAUCAGAAACUGUUGAACUUGAGUGCAGAAGAGGAGAGUGGAACUCCAUGUGUAGCGGUGGAAUGCGUAGAUAUAUGGAAGAACACCAGUGGCGAAGGCGGCUCUCUGGUCUGCAACUGACGCUGAGGCUCGAAAGCAUGGGUAGCGAACAGGAUUAGAUACCCUGGUAGUCCAUGCCGUAAACGAUGAGUGCUAAGUGUUGGGAGGUUUCCGCCUCUCAGUGCUGCAGCUAACGCAUUAAGCACUCCGCCUGGGGAGUACGACCGCAAGGUUG
rnacentral:rRNA from 1 species